GAUGAACGCUGGCGGCGUGCUUAAUACAUGCAAGUCGAGCGAACGGACGAGAAGCUUGCUUUUCUGAUGUUAGCGGCGGACGGGUGAGUAACACGUGGAUAAUCUACUUAUAAGACUGGGAUAACUUCGGGAAUCCGGAGCUAAUACCGGAUAAUAUUUUGAACCGCAUGGUUCAAAAGUGAAAGACGGUCUUGCUGUCGCUUAUAGAUGGAUCCGCGCUGCAUUAGCUAGUUGGUAAGGUAACGGCUUACCAAGGCAACGAUGCAUAGCCGACCGGGGAGAGUGAUCGGCCACCCGGGAACUGAGACACGGUCCAGACUCCUACGGGAGGCAGCAGUAGGGAAUCUUCCGCAAUGGGCGAAAGCCUGACGGAGCAGCGGCGCGUGAGUGGUAGAGGUCUUGGGAUCGUAAAACUCUGUUAUGAGGGAAGAACAUAUGUGUAAGUAACUGUGCACAUCUUGACGGUACCGAAUCAGAAAGCCACGGCUAACUACGUG
rnacentral:rRNA from 1 species